UACAAAUUCAUUUUUCUUAUUUUUCCUGUUAGAAUGUACAUGCUUUCCCCAAAGAUCUAUAUCCUAACCAUUUUCUUUAUGUCCUAAACCAGCCUCUACAACCUCCUCCAUACCAAAGGGCUCAGUGUAUUGAUGUAUUCCUAACCAAUUUCCUCUGUGCCGCUCCUGAAACUUCCCCUGUCUUUUCCAAGCUUCACUUUCAAAUUUCCAACUACUUAUUAUCUGCCUCUGGAGUUCUAUUUGUUCUUUUGACAUGUUCAAUGCUCUUAAUAGAACUGCGAAUCUGAGGAAACUAGGCAAUGAACCUAGGAUGCAAGAGUCACGCUUGAUCCACACUGUUACUUUCUUAGUUACUCCAGUAGCAGGAUGAAAUAUCAUCAUCUCAUCCCAGUCUGGGCUGCACAGAUGUGAGUCAUCCCUUGAUCCAGUGAAUCCAGUACUGGGUAUGGUAUCUGCCUGAAGAAUCUGGAUGAUCAGAUUGACUGUGGCAAUAUCACAGUGUUUGUGUUCUUAUUUUAUUCAAUGGACAAAUCAUUUUAUGAGUAGUUAUUGUUUUUUAAUUUCUUACUGUGCCAAUGGAGUAUAUCAGAUCUUUUUUCAUAGACACAAAAAGGUAUCGUAAGUAGUGGGCUUUAGAAAAAUUAUAGUAAAACACUCAUCAAAGUAAUUGUAUUAACCACUUUAUUUUUAUUUUUUUUUGCCAGUCCUGGGGCAAGGACUCAGGGUCUGAGCACUGUCCCUGGCUUCUUUUUGCUCAAGGCUAGCAUUUUACCA